rnacentral:rRNA from 1 species
UACGUAGGGUGCAAGCGUUACUCGGAAUUACUGGGCGUAAAGCGUGCGCAGGCGGUUUUUUAAGUCUGACGUGAAAGCCCCGGGCUUAACCUGGGAAUUGCGUUGGAGACUGCAAGGCUUGAAUCUGGCAGAGGGGGGUAGAAUUCCACGUGUAGCAGUGAAAUGCGUAGAGAUGUGGAGGAACACCGAUGGCGAAGGCAGCCCCCUGGGUCAAGAUUGACGCUCAUGCACGAAAGCGUGGGGAGCAAACAGG